ensembl:snRNA U2 U2 spliceosomal RNA
AUCGCUUUCUCGGGCUUUUGGCUAAGAUCAAAUGCAGCGUGUGUUCUGGUCAGUUAAAAUACCUGGUAAGUCCUCUACCUGAGGACAGUACGUUAAGUGGAUUUGGGGAGCAGGGAGAUGGAAUAGGAGCUCUCUCCGUCCACACACCGAGCUGGUAUCGCAGUAUCUCCAGGAAUGGUGAACCCAAA